AUGGGGUGCUCCCGCUGGGAGGUGGAGGGUGGGAUGGCAGUCCCAGGGUGCAGAGGCGGCCAGGUACAGCCUCAUUCUGGGGAAGUUCUCAAGAACCCCAAUCCACAUUGAAAAGCAGAUCCCCUGCAGGUAGUCAGGGCAGGUCCUGGUUGACUCCCUGGCUGAGCAAGGCAGGAGGGCCUGCUCUGCCUCAGCCCAGCCCAGUACUUGGAGUGGGGCUGGGAUUCCCAGGAAGGAGCAGGAAAGGCCAAGGGCAGCCAAGUGUUUCUAGACGGGGCUGCUGUCCCCUGGGCCUCCGGAUGGGCUUUCCAGUUCGGAGCUGCUGGCUCAGGGCUGGGGAUGAGGGGGAGGGGAGCUGCAGGAGGUGGAGAUCAGGGUUGAGGUGGAACCGGGCGGUGGAGCAGGUGCUUGUGCAGGUGAGGAGGCCAAGAACUGAGGAGAGAAAGGAGCUGUGUGUGUGUGUCCACUCCUGGGCUGGAGGAACAUGGAGCUGGGUCCUGUCUGUGAGGGAGCCUUGCAUUGCGUUAGCGAAUGGAUCUGGGUUCAAGGCGGAAAGGCCUUGGGUUUUCACUCCUGGAUCUUGUCCUUGUGUCCUGCGACUUCUGUCCCUGUUGCAGAGGGUGGUGGCAGCAGGGACAGGUGAUGGUGUUGAUGGAGUCAGGGGAGGAGUUCACCAAAAGCUGGGAGAAAGGAGGCAAAAAAAAGAACAGGUGUGUUCUUCCCUCAGAGGAAGGCAGAAUCUGACUUUGAAGCAACUGAAGGAGAAUCUCUGAGGGAAUGAAAAGCAUUAUUCUGCAACCAGUUGGUCAGUUAUUUAUUGGUUUUUCUUUUUCCCCAGAGCCUAUUAGCCUACAAGACCUGGAUCAAUUCCAGAUGGAGCCAAGUGAUCACAAUGGCCUCAUACACCCAGAAUUUCAGUCCUCGUGUCAGACUCAGCUCCUCAGUCUAACAGGGGAAGCUUAGAAUUUGCAGCCAGGAGGCCUGAAUUCAGUUCCUAGUUCUGGUCUUAAUAGCACUUUUUAUGUGUGUUAUUUAUUUUAUUAUUUUAAAAUUAUUUAUAUUUUAUAUUUUAUUUGUAACUGGAGAAUACUUGCAUUAUAAUGUAUCAGUUUCUGCCACACAGCACUGUGAAUCAGCCCUAAGUCUACAUGUAUCUCCUCCCUCUGCAACUUCCCUCCCACCCUCCCCACCCCACCCCUCUAGGUCGCUGAGCACCAGGCUGAGUACCUAGUCAGGUCCUGUUCCCUCCCUGCUGGUGCACACGAUGCACAGUAAGCUAAUGGGAAUAGAGAACUCAUUCCAUGUCUGUUUAUCCCAGUAGCUUUUUACACUCAGUGACGUGUAUGUUUCAAUGCUACUCUCAAUUCAUCCCACCCUCUCCUUCCCUCACAAGUCCAUUCUCCAUGUCUGUGUCUCUAUUCCUGCUCUGUAGAUAGUUCAUCAGUACCAUUUUUCUAGAUUCCAUAUAGAUGCAUUUUUUGUUUUAUUAUUAUUAUUUUUGAAGGUAGUUGAUUUACAGUAGAACACAUUCCUUCUGAGGUCUCCAUUUCUUCAUCUAUGAAAUGAGAAAACUAGUGUUUCUUUUCAGUUAUGGUUGGGAUGAUUAAAACUGAUAAUAUAUUUGAGAUAGUUACAGCUGCACCACACUCGUAACAAAUAUUAAUUUUGCUUUUUAUAUUAUAAUAGAGCAUAUGGACAGCAAAUUAUUACCAAUAA